AACGAACGCUGGCGGCAGGCCUAACACAUGCGAGUCGAGCGAGACCUUCGGGUCUAGCGGCGGACGGGUGAGUAACGCGUGGGAACGUGCCCUUUUCUACGGAAUAGCCUCGGGAAACUGAGCGUAAUACCGUAUACGCCCUUUGGGGGAAAGAUUUAUCGGAGAAGGAUCGGCCCGCGUUGGAUUAGGUAGUUGGUGGGGUAAUGGCCUACCAAGCCUACGAUCCAUAGCUGGUUUGAGAGGAUGAUCAGCCACACUGGGACUGAGACACGGCCCAGACUCCUACGGGAGGCAGCAGUGGGGAAUCUUAGACAAUGGGGGCAACCCUGAUCUAGCCAUGCCGCGUGAGUGAUGAAGGCCUUAGGGUUGUAAAGCUCUUUCAGCUGGGAAGAUAAUGACGGUACCAGCAGAAGAAGCCCCGGCUAACUCCGUG
rnacentral:rRNA from 1 species